GGUCUUUGCAUAGCCAUAUCCUAAUAAAAGAUGGAUUGCCUGACUUGUAUAUUGAUGCCCCCAAGAUAUUGAAUCAGAAAAACUUCCAGUUCACUCAGUGGUGCCCCUCUGGAGUACUUAUGGAAAGACAUAAGGAAGAAUCACACAAGAGAACAGAUGCCUACUUCUCAACACAAGGACACUUAAGGAGGAGGAAAUCAGCAAGAGAGUUGCUCUCAAAGAGAAGAAAGAGGAUCACUGAAGUAAUUUUUUAAAUGAACAGAAGGAAGAUCAGAAGGUAACAUACAAACAAUAGUUUUUAUAACAAUGUUGUAUUUAUCAAACUUUUUUAAAAAGCAAGUUGUAAGUAAU
rnacentral:lncRNA from 1 species